GACGGAGGGGCAAGCGUUGUCCGGACUCACUGGGCGUAAAGGGUGCGUAGGCGGUCUUGUGCGUCCGCGCGAAAUCAUCCGGCUCAACCGGGUGGCGCGUGUGGAUACGAUGAGACUUGAGGCUCUGAGAGGGUGGCGGAACUCCUGGUGUAGUGGUGAAAUGCGUAGAGAUCAUGAGGAAGACCGUGGCGAAGGCGGGUCUCUGGACAGUUCCUGACAUGGAGACACGAAGGCCAGGGGAGCAAAACGGGGA
rnacentral:rRNA from 1 species